rnacentral:rRNA from 1 species
GUGAGGAAUAUUGCGCAAUGGAGGCAACUCUGACGCAGCCAUGCCGCGUGCAGGAAGAAGGCGCUACGCGUUGUAAACUGCUUUUAACCGGGAAGAAACCCCAGGACGUGUCCUGGGUUGACGGUACCGGAGGAAUAAGCACCGGCUAACUUCGUGCCAGCAGCCGCGGUAAUACGAAGGGUGCAAGCGUUAUCCGGAUUCAUUGGGUUUAAAGGGUGCGUAGGCGGAGCGUUAAGUCAGUGGUGAAAUCCUGCAGCUUAACUGUAGACUUGCCAUUGAUACUGGCGCUCUUGAGUGCGCUUGAAGUGGGCGGAAUGUGCCGUGUAGCGGUGAAAUGCUUAGAUAUGGCACAGAACACCAAUUGCGAAGGCAGCUUACUACGCAUAUAUUGACGCUGAGGCACGAAAGCGUGGGGAGCAAACAGGAUUAGAAACCCGUGUAGUCC